rnacentral:rRNA from 1 species
GCAAGUCGAGGGGUAACAGGGAGCUUGCUCCGCUGACGACCGGCGCACGGGUGCGUAACGCGUAUACAAUCUACCUUAUACUGGGGAAUAGCCUUUGGAAACGAAGAUUAAUGCCCCAUAGUAUUAUUGACUGGCAUCGGUUGGUAAUUAAAGCUUUGGUGGUAUAAGAUGAGUAUGCGUUCUAUUAGUUAGUUGGUAAGGUAACGGCUUACCAAGACAUCGAUAGAUAGGGGUCCUGAGAGGGAGAUC